GUGCUCACUUCAGCAACACAUAUACUAAAACUGAAUGAUACAGAGAACAUUAGCAUGGCCCCUGUGCAACAAUGACAUGCAAAUUCUUGAAGCGUUCCAUAUUUUU
ensembl:snRNA U6 U6 spliceosomal RNA